rnacentral:rRNA from 1 species
UGCGCAGGCGGUUCGUUAAGUCAGAUGUGAAAGCCCCGGGCUCAACCUGGGAACUGCAUUUGAAACUGGCGGGCUUGAGUAUGGCAGAGGGGGGUGGGAAUUCCGCGUGUAGCAGUGAAAUGCGUAGAGAUGCGGAGGAACACCGAUGGCGAAGGCAGCCCCCUGGGCCAAUACUGACGCUCAGGCACGAAAGCGUGGGGGAGCAAACA